rnacentral:rRNA from 1 species
UACGUAGGGGGCGAGCGUUAUCCGGAAUUAUUGGGCGUAAAGGGUUCGCAGGUGGCCUGAUAAGUCAGAUGUGAAAGGCAGUGGCUCAACCACUGCAAGCAUUUGAAACUGUCAAGCUUGAGUACAGGAGAGGAAAGCGGAAUUCCUAGUGUAGCGGUGAAAUGCGUAGAUAUUAGGAGGAACACCAGUGGCGAAGGCGGCUUUCUGGACUGAAACUGACACUGAGGAACGAAAGCGUGGGGAGCAAACAGG